AGAAGGGCACGAAUGGGAGAGCCCGAGUAACGUGGUGGAAACAUGCAGUUGUACCCACACUGACCUAAAAUAGCUCCAUCCCCUUGCCUGGGCCCUGUGGCCCGGGCCAGGCUGUGUCGGUGGCUUCUACGACCUCCGCGCUCCUCACCCCUCGCACUUGGGGCCUGCUGCACAGACAGUUUGUCCUGAAAAUUGAUGGCGUGCAUUUGCAGGUGCCUGAGCGCUAUAAGGCAUGGGGCGGGGCGGUGGGGGUGGCAGGUUUUAACUUUGGGAAUUACACUUCUCUAAUUGUCUCUACUAGCCCUCUCUGGACUAGACAGAUUUUGGAGAGAAUUGCCACAGAAUUUAACCAGUUACACUUUCAUGCUGUUCAGAGCAAAGGCAUGCCUCUUCUGGACAAAGUAAGACCACGUAUAGCCCACAUUACGGCCAUGCUGCAGCAGUCCCUGGGAGGCCUGUUGCUAGAAGGGCUUCAGACUUCCAAUGUGGACAUCAUACGGCACUGCCUCCGGACUUAAGCUACAUUUGACAAGACACGGGAUGCAGAGGCGUUCGUUGGUCAAGUACUGGUGAAACCGUACAUGGAUGAGGUGAUUGUAGAGCAGAUCGUUGAGUCUCAUCCGGACGGCCUGAAGAUCAUGUAUGCUAAUAAGCUCCUGGAGUUCGUUCCUCACCACUGCCACCUUCUUCGAGAGGUCACAGGAGGAGCCAUAUCAAGGGGUAUUGAAGCGAGACUGAGUCACCACCUGACCCCAGGAAUGAACCAGCGAGGCGGGCUCCUUAUUAGAGCAAGACUCCCGGAAGCCAGAUAGCCCUUGUGCUUGCAAGAGCUCAAGGCACAGCCGGCUGUGGAGCACCGAAGCAGCAGCAGCCACAGCAGCCACGGGAAUCGUGACCCUCGGGCCCGGCGCCUACCUGGAAUUUCCGCAGCGCCUGGUUCAGAACCACCGGGGCGGACAGCUCCCCGCCGCUGCGGGCGCCGACUGCGGAAGGGGACCGAGAGCGCGGGCUUCACGCUCCGUGAGCCGGCUCGGGCGGCGGGAAGACUGGCUGCGUCCCCCCCAACCCCCGACACCCACUCGGUUCCUCCCUUCCCCCUGCGGGGCCCCGCGGGGCCUGCGGGUGGCCGUCCCGGGCCACACGUCCCGCAGGCGAGGUAGC